CCUACGGGUGGCAGCAGUGGGGAAUAUUGCACAAUGGGGGAAACCCUGAUGCAGCAACGCCGCGUGAGUGAGGAAGUAUUUCGGUAUGUAAAGCUCUAUCAGCAGGGAAUAGAAAAGAAGGUACCUGAAAAAGAAGCCCCGGCUAACUACGUGCCAGCAGCCGCGGUAAUACGUAGGGGGCAAGCGUUAUCCGGAUUUAUUGGGUUUAAAGGGUGCGUAGGCGGAAUGCCAAGUCAGCGGUAAAAUCGCGGGGCUCAACCUCGCUCCGCCGUUGAAACUGGCGUUCUUGAGUGGGCGAGAAGUAUGCGGAAUGCGUGGUGUAGCGGUGAAAUGCAUAGAUAUCACGCAGAACUCCGAUUGCGAAGGCAGCAUACCGGCGCCCAACUGACGCUGAAGCACGAAAGCGUGGGUAUCGAACAGGAUUAGAUACCCCAGUAGUC
rnacentral:rRNA from 1 species